rnacentral:rRNA from 1 species
GGGGGAAUAAUUUAAUAGGGGGAAAUAAAAAAAUUAUUUUUAUAGUUAGUAAUAUUUUAAUGGGGGUUAAAGUAUUUAUUGAGAAAAAAUUAAUUUGUUUAUAGUGAAUUAGUAUUGUAGAAUAAAAUUGAAAUAAUUUAAAUAUUAAUUAUUUUAUAAGUAGGUUUAAUUUAUUGUAUCUUGUGUAUCAGAGUUUAUUAAAAAGAUUUUAUUUAAUAAUAAAUUUCUCGAAUUUAAAAGAGUUAAUUAAUUAUAAAAGUUAUUGUUGAAAAAAUAUUUUUAAUAAUUAUUUAGAAAUGAGAUGUUAAUCGUUUUUAAAAAUAUCUAGUUUUUUUAGAAAAAAAUUUAAUUUUAAAUUUAAUUUUUGAAAAAUUAUUUUAUUUAAUUUGAAAAAAUUAUUUUUUAAUAUUUUAGGGGAUAAGCUUUGAAAUAAAUUUUUAUAAUAAUUUUAUUAUUUUAGUAAAAAUUUAAUAUUUAUAUUGUUUAUAAUUUAUAUUUUAUUAUAAAUAAUUUAUUUAAAAAAAUAAAAUUUAAAGAAGAUAAUAUUUAAUUUUUUUAUAAAAAUUUAUUUUAUAAUUUGAUAAAAUUGGUAAUAAUGAUAAAAUUAGUAUAAAUUUAUUAAUGAGUAAAAUUUAGGUUAAAUUUUAUUAGAGGAAUUCGGCAAAAUUAUUAUGAAUGAAUUUUGAUUUAAAUUUAUUUAUAAAUAUUAUUCACUUGUUUAUUAAAAACAUGUCUUUUUGAGUUAAUAAUUUAAAGUCGUAUCUGCCCACUGAAUUAUUAUAAUUUGAAGGGCUGCAGUAUUUUGACUGUACAAAGGUAGCAUAAUAAAUAGUUUUUUAAUUGAUGACUAGAAUGAAUGAUUUGAUGAAAUAAUAACUGUCUUUAAUUAAUAUUUAGAAUUUAAUUUUUUAUUAAAAAAGAUAAAAUUAUGGUAAAAGACGAGAAGACCCUAUGAAGUUUUAUAGUAAUUUUUAUUUAAUUUAAUAUAUAAUGUUAUUAAAUUUAUUAUAAAAUUAUUAUUUUAUUGGGGUGAUAAAAAAAUUUAUUAAACUUUUUUUUUAGGUUUAUAAUAAUAAUGGUUAAAUUAGUAUUAAUGAUCCAAUUUUAUUGAUUAUAAGAUUAAGUUACUCUAGGGAUAACAGCGUAAUUUAUAUUUUUAGUACACAUAAAAAUAAGAGUUUGCGACCUCGAUGUUGGAUUAAGAUAAAUUUUAAAUGGAAAAGUUUAAAUAUUUGGUCUGUUCGACCAUUAAAAUCUUACAUGAUCUGAGUUUAAACCGGUGUAAGCCAGGUUGGUUUCUAUCUUUAUUUAAUUAAAAAUAGUUUAGUACGAAAGGAUUAAUUAUUUAAAAUAAUUUUAUUAUAUUGAAUAUUAAUAAUUUUUUUAA